rnacentral:misc_RNA from 1 species
GUCAUUUUGUGCAUCAAUUUUGGAAACAAGUUUAUUCAAUUCCCCCUUAAUAGUUGUUGCCAAAAUAGGGAGAAGCUGGGUCUCUGUGUUCACCGCAAAUGCAACUGCAUCCCUGUCCAAGUGAAUUGCUAGUGUGGGGAUUCUCAAUAUGGGCUCCAGAAAUCGAACAAGACGAUGAGCAUAUGAAACAGAACCAUUAUUUUCCUCCCUUAAAA